GCCUGGGUGGCUCAGUCGGUCAAGCGUCCGACUUCGGCUCAGGUCCUGAUCAGGGUUUGUGGGUUCGAACCCCACAUCGGGCU
rnacentral:tRNA from 1 species